rnacentral:lncRNA from 1 species
CUCGAUACAGACAAGUCUGGUGGGUUUCGUGUGUCUGUUUUCUGUCCCGACUCUUCAGAUGUUCCAGCAUCCCCUUCUUGGUGUGGUAGGUCUUCCUCCCUUCUGCCUGGGUAUCGUUCAGGUUCACUGCCUUUUUGGUCAGCCGAAACCGAUGUAGGUGUCUUGUUUUCUGAGCCAACGUUUAGGCCAAGUGUCCGAGCACUUGUCCGUUCAGGCAUCUUGUGGUUUCCCGCUCCUUCUUGCACCUCCUUCUCCACCUUGGGCUCAAUGGAGGCAUCGUCUUGCUUCAAGGUUAGAGGCAGGCUCCGUGCUGAUGACGCCGGUUCGGAUCCUUCUUCUUGGAAGGUGCACUUUCCUUUGUCACGCGAUGAUGCACACUCAGCAUCCUCCAAAUAGGCUGCGCGAUCUGAGCCGUGCAAGGAAAUUUCACUUUCGUCUUUGUUUUCUUCAUCCGAGGUUUUGACCCACCGGGAAGCGUCAGAUGGUCGGUGCCUUUCACUAUGAGACAGCUCAGUGUGCUGUUCCCCUCCAGUGGUUGCCAAAUGCUCACCGUUCCAGCGAUACGGGUUCACCGAUUGUCCAAUAUGCCCGUGAUCUGCACUGUGAAUAACUGUGGAUAGAUGGCUGUGGGGCGUCGUUUCGGUAAAUCCAUCGGAUUCAGAAUUGCAAAGACUGUGUCUUAUUUCUCGAUGUUUUUUUUCCACUCGGGCGUCUGUGAUACGAGUGGCUCUACACCCGUUUAUCGCCCGACAUCCUUCCACCUCGCGGUCACUCUUAUAGACUGUUGAAGCGGCAAAGGUGCUGUCUGCUUGGGAACUUACUUUUUCACAGCCGGGGUGCAUUUUGCCUUGCGCCGCUGUGUGAAAGCCAUUGGUAGAGUUCUCCAUGUUCUUAACCUCGGGUAUUGCAUGUGCUUCAUCUGUACUUCUGAUCACUUGUGCGUCCACUUCAUGUUUCUUGUCCUCGCUAUUCUUGUGGCCACUUUCAUCAAUGUCAAAAGGGACCGUGCUUGUAGGAUAUCCACUCUCACGAGGCGGUACGACGAGGGGAACACAUCUGCUUUCCAUGUCGCUAAAAUUGUUUAAUGCCGGACAGAAAUCUACGGACUCGGUUGAGUCAGCAACUGCAUUGUUUACAGAAAGUCCUUCUCUGCCACAAAUAGCUUUCCUGUAGUGGCGUGCAUUCAUGUAGGUUGAGCAUCUGUUGCUCACACAAGAUAUGCUAGGUUCGAUCUUUUCCUCGGUAAUAAUGGAGUCAACCAGGCACGGUUUUUGUGUGUCGUGGUCUGAAUUUGUGUCACACGCUAUGCAAUGUUGGCUUGCAUUGGACGGUGCAGCAGCGUGCUUCCACGAAUCUGGCUGGUGUUCCUCGCGCAGGGUUUCGCAAAGAGAACUCUCGCUUCCCAAACGGCCUUCGUCUCCGGUGGAUUUAUCCGCCUUUCUCGUUCGUUGCCUAGAACACUUUGUUCCUUCUGUGUCCACGACCACAGUACAUAAGUCGGAUUGUAAUUGUAAGGAGUCUUCUGUGAGAAAGCGUUCACCCGCUGUUCCCCCGACGCCGUUUGUUCCGUGGUGCUUACCACGUCUCUUAUCUUUGUCAACCCCUAGCUGUUCAUGAACAGCAGGUUCAGACGCAUGCAUGAAAUUUCCAAACUGCAAGUCGCCUGGAGGUAACUUUGGCAGAAGCAGGCCCGUUUCGUCUAAACUAGCGGCCAGGUCAUGCUGUGGACUAUUCACGUUUGCUCCAGAAUUACUCUUUGACGUUGGAGCGUGAUUCCGGCAGUCAAGUCUUGCAAUCUGCGCUGCCUCCAUCCCUAUAAACAAAGCAAC